rnacentral:lncRNA from 1 species
CUCCGUAAACUCGAUCACUAGCUACACUGUAUUGCUUCAAGACUUACAACUAUCCCAGCUUUGCUUGCUCACUAGCGCUGCGUAAAGAAUUCUUACAGUAGCUUGUGGACAGCUUACAUCUUCUUACUACUUACAGUUGACUCACACAUAACUCUCGGGGAACAACGCUUACUCUCGCUAUACUCUUACUCUCGCUAUACUCUAAGAUAAGAGAUUAACCUAACAGCCCUUCUAAACUGACUUAUGGAAAAUAGAGUGCACACAUUAUAGAGAGAAAAGUCAAAAAACUGCCUACAAUCAUAUUACAGAGAGCGUGACACAUAUAGACAUUUUUCACCUAAGAGAGGAGAGCGCGACACAUAAAUCAAUAAGUCACCUAAUAUCACUGCAACAAGAACCGUAGCAGUAGAGUCACCUUCUACUUCUGGUCUUACUCUUUCAAAAGUUGGAUAAUCUACUUUAAGGGGAAUAGUAUAGAUGUGUCACUUUCCAGUCUUACGGGAAUAGAAAAGUCAUAAGUAUGCUGUCUUUGUUUUGUUACUCAUUUAUAUCAUACUUGCUUGUUUGCGCUAACGGAGCUGCCGCGUAGUGGGCAAGCACCAACCGAGCCUGAUUAUGGGUAACUCUACUACAGAAGAGAAAGUGGGUAAACUACCAAAUAUGAGAUAAGCACCCGAUUGGUUUAGUCUGAGUCUCCCUAAGAGCAUGGAGGCACCGUGAUCCCAAGAUCUAUUAUCUUAUUAAUAAAACAAGCCUUUCCCGCUCGCUCUGAGAAACCCACUCGCUCUGAGAAAACCCCGAACCCGCUCUGCACUUAGCAAAACCUGUACCUUCACCAUCUACUACAGCAAUAGGCACUCUUCACCAUCCACUACAGCAAUAGGCACUGAAGUUGAUUAUGGACUUCCCGUGUAGUGGGCAAUAGCACUCGGGACCUAAAGAAACUAGUAGCCGUCAUUCUCAUACUGGUUAUCAAUCAUUAGUGACAAUAGUCCCUUCCUUAAGAUAUAUCAUUCAAUCCUCCUUAUGAAGAUACAUCAUCAUUUAUGCCCGGACAAAACCUAGUCAUGUAUGUGCUCCUUCUUUCUCUCUCGCCAACCAACCUCACCUUAGUGCUCUUCUUUACUGGAAUUCAGAAAUCCAAUGAAAAGGAAACUACUAUUAAUAAGAAAGAAACGGGAAACAGCCAAGAGAAAUGGACCUCAAUCGUAGGCAAGGGCUACCUCUACCUUUACCUUUCCUUCGCGCAUCUAGGAAUCAGUCCCUUACUUUUCCUCAAAGCCUAUUCUCGAGAAAAUAUGUAUUAGAAAUCCCAUAUGUAUUAUAAGAUAUUGGCCUUGUCUUUAUUCUAAUGUCGCGGCAGAUUCGUGACCAGGGGGUAAGUCCGCUUUGCUGCUGAUUCUAUUACCUGGGACUUCGAAUCGUGAGAAGGAUUUUCUGCUUAGCGUUGACUAGCGUUGACCGGGGCUUACUAAUGGUAAAUAAAGUCCAACUCCUGCUUGCUUUACUCGGAAGAAAUGCUUUGCCCUUACCUGACUCAAUCAUGCUACUUGAAUGAAAGACGGGAAAAUAUCUGUCUUACGAGAUGCCCCAAUCCAAUCCAAAGAGAAAGGCUAAGAGCAAGUGCCACGAUUCUCUAAGAAUGCCAUUUAUGUCAGUUUCUUCUGGGUUUGCUUGGUAUACAGGAGUUGUUACUUUCUCUUCUACUAUAGCUAAUAUGGAAAUCUUUCACGCAGUGGGAUAUGCCCGCUUUCUAUCUUACACUAUACGAAAUGCCUAGCUGACUUGCCCAAGCCUACCCACUCCCUAUGAUUCUAUCAAUCUCGGGAGUUCCUGCCGAAAAGUAAGCCUUUUCCUCGCACCCGAACGUAACUUGAAAGAACGUCUUGAUGGCGAACACUGGACUUGUGCCUUAACCCUACUUUCUCACUUUCACUGGUUCUUCUCUUUCUUCCCAAGCUCCAUUACGUGGGCUAUCUGAACUUCCAACACAGAGAUCCCUGCCGGGGGGCUAUCUGAACUUCCAACACAGAGAUCCCUGCCUUAACUCCCUUCCCAUUUAGGAAUAGAAACUCUAGCUAGCACAACGUCUUUGAACUCCACUCUCAAGUCAUCAUGGAAUUGAAGAGAACCCCUCCCUUAUCGAAGCAUCGGCUAAGAUGUUAGGAUCAAAUGCCUAAGAAGGACUGUUUCUUAGUUUCAAUAGUGACUUUUGCCAUAAGGGGUGUGUGUGUGUUUCCCCUGCCUGAAAAUACUAACAUAAACGCUUGCUUUGACUUCGACUUCUGACUGAACUGCAUCAUAAGAAUCUAAAGUCAGGGCAAUUAGUUUAGUUACAGAGGAUGUAUUAUUAGAUUAAUUAGUUCCACAUAAAGGGAAAGCCUGGAAUAGUGCUUGUAGACAACAUUGGUAGACAACAUGGAGGGAUUUGAUUCUCUUAUUAACUUACCGCAACAUUCGAACUAUCAUUUCACUUUUGUUCUACUUUACUGGAUGAUUCAUUCUUAUCGCCAACCAACACCGAGAUAUUUAACUGCAGCAGAUAUCUAGCUUAUGCGGAUUCUCUUUCUUAUGCUUCCUCAGAACAUUGUUUCCCCUUUACUUCAAAACGAACUCAAGCUCCUUCCUUCUGCAGAUCCUUAUUCUUGACCUUAUUUCUUUCCCUAACCCUGCGAUUGUGAUCUACCAGUACCUUCCUCUAUACCUGCUUUCCAAGCUAUUCUCUUGUCAUCAACACUGUCAACUUGAAACCAGUACUCAUGGCAAAGGCAAAGGUCCAAAGUGAAAGGAGUCGUAUCCCUUUCAAAAAGCAACCGGCUAACGUAGGUAGUUAAGAGCAAGUGAUGUUUUCGAGCUCAAAGUCAUUGAGUUCCGUAUCUUUACCUUGCUUGUAAUGGAGAAUGUCCGUAUAUAUAAUACGAGGCUCAAGCAUAAGUAGGAUUAUCUGAUGGAGUUGUAUCAGAUGACAGAUCAGAAACAGUGUGAGCUCCCGAAAACGGAGAACGGACUCUUAACCUCUAGUAUAGAGCAAGCAGGUAAUAAUCACAGGGGAGUUUCUUUGGGUUGGGUGCUUGAGAAGGCACAAGUAAGGUCAGAGCAGCAAUUCCAGUUCGCGUAUAAAGAAUUGCCAGCCAGUUUUAGUUGACGACUUCAUAUUUGAAGUUCAUAAGCUGUUUCAACGGAAUGAUGCAGUAAUAGUUUUGUAUCUGAGAUCAGAAGAGAGAUAAGUAGGGGAAUGCAAUAAGUAAGGCAAAGAGUCAAGGUGGGAGUGAAGAAUGCAAGGGGCAGGUCAAAGAACGGGAGGUGAACUUGGUCUUCAAGUAAUAUAGCUCAGCCUGAAAGUGACAUCAAUCAGUCAACGAGCAUACCUUCUGUUCGGUCGUCGGUGCACACAAUCAUUCUGUGAGCUACUAUGUCUAUGUUCCCAAUCAUUCUGUGCUAUGGUACAGCAACUCCGGUCCAGCAACUACGUCUUCGCUCGUGCAUCGAAGGGACCGCACCCAUUGUAUCAUUCAUAGCCCAUAUGCACCCAUUGUAUCAUUCAUAGCAGUAGCAUCCCAUAUGUAUGUAUUGGCGAAACAGCCGUGCAACGAAGGGCCGGGCAACGAACAACGAUGGUCCACAGGCCGGUCAACAAUAAAGUGGUUUGUAGGUUCUGAAAGUGAUCAACAAUUCUUCAAGGAGGUGUUCGCACAUCAUUCGAAUUCUGUGAUCUGUCAUUCGCCGUGGAUCAUCUCAUCUCUCAUUCAUCGCAGCGCGGGGACAUCUAAUAUCAUAUGUAUUGGGAGAACCAACAUUGAUUCAACGGGCGAGACAAAGGACUUAGCAAAUAGAAUAUGAAAACACACGCAACUAUUAUAUAUCAUAUGCAAACAAGAAAACACAUGACAUGAAUUCCACUAUUACUAUUAUUAUUCCAAUAUUACUACUAUUAUUCCACUAUUACUAUUAUAAGAAUAUCAUAAGAGAAUAGAGAAGUACAACUACCAUGCAAAAACAAAACCUCAUAAGCCAGAAAGUCAGGAGCAACACAGAGACUUAGGUAAAAGAUAGUCAGAAUGCUAGUAUUGGAAGUAAGCCUAAAAGCAAGUAAGCUAAGAGGUUUGAAUGUGGCCGGUAGAGGCAUACUGAAACUAGGAUAUGGAAUGCCAGGAAUAAGUACUCGAACGAAAAGCUGCGGCUCUACUCUAUUCUUAUGCGGUUAUUGUAUUCCCCAGGUCGAUUCUAAGAAGCAAUAGGAACAGCCUUGUUUUGCUGGGGCUGUAGGUUGGUUCUUAUUGACAGCAGUAGCAGCCGUUAGGAACUAGUUGAGUUGCAUUUUCUAGUUAAGCUCAAUCCUUGUUAGCAACGGGUCUAGUCUCAUAUGCCCUAGCUCUGUUCUAAUAGUUAGUAGAUGGUUUCCCAGUCAGUAGGGUACUUGUUAAUAGCAAUAUGGGUCUUCUACUUAUUGGCAAGGAGUUUAGUAACACAAGCCAGGAGGAUAGUCAGAAUCAAAGCAAGGGAGUUAAGGCAUGAGGACGGGCGGAGUGUCCACAUACUAGAAUCCAACCUGGUAUCGAGUGACAUUAUGCUUAUUACUAGACCAAUUCUUUCCAGUAGUGAUUCCAGCCUUGUUAGACGUUCCUGAGGACCUGUAUUAGAAAAAGAAGUUCAAUCAGACUUGCGAGUUGAGUAAGCUGAGGUUAAGGCAGGGAGGGUACAUAGAGAGUGUCCACCUAAGAUAAGAGAUAGGAAAUUCAGGCUAAAAGGAAGAAGCGUUAACCUUUUUAACAGUAGUAUUAGUCUGCUUGCCACUAGUGGGAUUCUGAGUCGUAUUCGGGUUAUUCUAAUGGUGGUAUUUAGACCCCCCGUCUCGAGGUUGGUUCUAUGUUAUACUACACAUAUCCCGUAUUCUGAGUGACAUUAGAAUAAGCACUGGUUUAGCUCUUUACCUCUCUUGGUGGAUUCCUCUUCUCUUGUUUGAUUAUUUGACUUACUUAUUUAGCAACCUAUCUGCUUUGCCUUUCUUUCUUUGACUACCAACCUUGUUAUAGUGCUCGUGCUCUAAUCGAACUCUGUGGUCACCAACUCUGGCAGAACUCCUAUUCCUUGAAGCCUGCGAACCCGGGGCCCGGCUCUAAUACUAAUAGCAGUUGUAAUAGUGGUAAGAUCUAGGGAAGUAUCCGAUUGACCUCAUAAGUAAGAAGCCGACUCGUAAGUAAGAAAGGGAGUGGGACCAUUACUUAUAGAACCAAACUGGGAAUGGAGAGGAUGAAACAGGCACAUAUGAAUUUCACUAAUAAUAAACAGAAGCAACCUACCGCCCUGAGCACAGCACUUGGUAAUAACCACCAAUAACAUAUUAUGUGUUGUUUCAGAAGACUCCGCACAACAUUAGCAGUUGCUUGGCCCCUUCCUUAUCUAUUCGUUCCAGUUCGAUUCUUAUAAGCACUAGUGAAUUCCGUCUCUACGAGCAUAAAUCGCCCUACUUAUUUGUAGUUAUGGCACGAGUUCUCAAUCAAGUAAGUCUGUGGCCUAACUAAAGGUAGGUGAAAGUCUCGCUCCAUUUCAUAUCUGGCUCGGGAGGUAAAGCUACAAACUAUCAUUUCGCAAUCUUCUAUUGUAUCUCUUGAAGCUGGAAGUUAGAGAAGCAUCUGAAAGCCUGUGAUCAAGAGAAGAAGAUCAGUUUAGGGCUUUCCAUGGAAAACCACUCUUUAUUAGCCUAGCCCUAUGAGUGAACCGUAGCUCACGAACGCUGGACUAAAACGCCGGAAUUGGCUAUUUGUGACAGCUGUAAACUCUGUAAGCGCCAGCAUCCUCUUCUCAAGCAUCCUCCUAUACAUAGAUUAUUUCUUAAUAACAUGGGUAACGCCAACAACGGCUAAAGAUUCUCAAUUCGUUCUUCAAGUUAGUUCCUGAGGUUGUUUACCCUAUUCUUUUCUAUUAUGAGUCACUGCUGUAGAGUGAAGCUGUGUAGUUUAGAAGCCAAAUCCAAAGGGAAGCCUUUCUAGCGGCGAAGAGAACUCCAUAUCCAUAUAUAAGCCCUACGCUUCGGAUUGCCAACCUCGCUUGAGUGAGACUCGAAAGCCUUUGCAAGUAAUAAGUGAGAGCGAUACUUUAUCCAAGCUAAGCUUUCGGCUACAUAAAGAAGCAUGAAUGAAACGAGACAAGCUUUGCCCGACUGAUGGUGAUUGAGGUCCAUCGUCGGCAGGCGGUAUAGAUGGAAAUGGUCUUGCUUGGAAUCUUAGAGAUGAAAUGGUCUGGAAUCUUAGAGAUGGAAAUGGUCUUUGCUUGGAAUCUUAGAACGAAGAAGACAGCAAUGCUGCGCCGGGCCAAGUCGAGCAAGGAUUGAACUCUCUCUCGUGCUUUGCAUUGGAUUUGAGAAUGGGCAGAGCUUAGUGUUGUAAAACAGUUGACUUAAUGAAAAAACCUAGGGAUCAAUGAGGAUACGGGAAUGUCUUAAGCCAGUUGAGGUUUCAAUUUGUACUAUAGAAGACCGUUUUUGUUUCAAUUUGACUAUAGGAUUAUUUACGACGCAAUAGGAAGGAUGAGAGACAGACGGGUUGGUUUCUUUAGCUGAACUCGAUAGAGUGUAGUGGGCAAUAGCAAUAGGAACUCUUAUCUAAAUUCUGGAUUAUUGACUUCACUUCCCUCUGUAUUAUUGACUUAUACAUCUCAGCGCCAGGCAGGUUAAUUAAGUCUAGUAAAGGUUUACUUGUGUUAAGUGCUCGUGUGCGCCUACCUACAGUUUUGUAUGCAAUGAACCCUUCUCUCGGACAAGAACAAGCUUUUCUUUGAACUAACAAUUGAAUACUAAACAAUAGCCUCACAGCUCGUCCUUUAUCAUAGACAGACUGCAGGUACAAACUAUAGAUUGAGUCUCAAUUAGAUAAGACUUAUUCUCUCUUUCUUUCCUUCGAGAUACUCAUUCUCUAUUUAUAGUACACUAACCCCAUGAAACUUUCUAGCUCAAGGCUAGAAGCUACCAACACUUUCCAAUAAAAGAAAGAAAUAGGAAUUCGGUGGAUGGAUGACCCUAGACCUUCCAGAAGAGAAGAUCGAUAAACGAUUAAGCGCCUUAGAGACCAAUGAAAUGCGACCUAGAAGCUAAGCUUUAUUACUCAAAAGUGAUUUUCAGACCUCUUGCUUCUGCCCUCUAUCUAAGAGUACCUUUGAACCUGGAAUAAAAGGGGUGUGUGUCGCAAUGAAGGAUAUAGUUGGAAUAUAUGAAAUAAGAGUCAAGGGGCUUAUCGUAAAGGGGCUUAUCAAGAGGUAAGUAAUAGAAUAGGAGUACCAAACAGAGGAUAGUCAGAUAGUACACAGGCCCCCGAGAAAGUAGUCUAUUUUGGAAUCAUAACUACGAGACUCAAGCAUAGUGAUAGAAGAAGAAAAGUCGCAAUAAGCAUAGUAAUAGAAGAAGAAAAGUCGCAAUAAAAGAAUUCCAGAAAGGAAUGGAAGAUUUGAAGUAUUUCUUCGCUGUGAUAGUAUCAUUAGUCCUCAUUGGGGGUAGAUGUUCGGUUGAGUGUCUGAAAAUGACUACCUAUCUCACUUCCGUAAUUUGGGCUGAAGAACUAGUAGUAACCUGGGUGAAAAGGCUUGGUUUCUCUGUGAAAGGUGAAGUCUAAGUGUUGGGUCAUUACAAUUGGUAUCAAAGCGACUUUGUGGGCAACACUAUUGGGGUGAAAUGGAUAUAUAUGAGAUUACCGCGGGGUGAAAUGGAUAUAUAUGAGAUUACCUCUCCGUAGGGCACACUGAAUAGAGAUUCCUGGCCACAUGAUAAUCCUAAAGGUGAAUUAAGGGGCAUGAGUUGGCCUUGAUGACGACGUCCAAACAAUAGAGUGGAUUAGAUUGUUCUAUUUCGAGUAAUCACACCUCAGAGAAUAUUCCUUUGUAUUCCUUAGUUAUGGUCGUACUUCUACUCAGCCAUGUGGUCAUAGGGAAAUGACUCUAAGAAUUCUUAGGCUAGCAAGUGUAUUGGCUCUGAGAAAGGAGACCUUCUGACUUCUUUAUGUAAGAGUGUUGUGUUAGCAAUGUCAAACAUUUACAACCAUAGCAAGCAAUAAGAACUACAAAACCAUAGCAAGCAAUAAGAACUCAGAAUUUCCACACAUCUUUAUUACUUGUUUUCUUUAGAUGCCAUAUUAGGAGUAAGUAUUAUGCUAUCCUUUGAAGUUUCCCCACAAUUGAAAGAAGAAACUAGUAGGGGUUGACCAUAGCCAACAAUACCAGCCCUGUUAACUGCACAGAAGCCUAUCUGAAACAAAUAGAUCACCAACAGAAGCCUAUCUGAAACAAAUAGAUCACCACUACACUACUUACACCACUACACUACUUACACCACUACACUACUUUACACUACUUAUUAGUUAAUGACAUUUGAUGGAUUUCCUAUGUGUAUUAGUUAAUGACAUUUGAUGGAUUUCCUAUGUGUAUCCGAAUUCUCUGGGUGGUCCAUGCCGUCAGCUAAUCCUUGAAGAGCCGAUAGGGUACCUUGCAGAUGUGAAGAAGUCCAAUAGAGAUAGAUUGAUUGAUUAUUACUGGUGUGCUACAUGUGUUAGUUAUCAUUGUUGGGAGUAUAUUAGAUGCCCGGCGCGCUCACUACGGCGAGUAGAUUAGCUUGUUCCCGCUCAAGUACUUUACUCAAAUGGGGAUCUGCAGCGAAUGAAUUCAAUAGAACGAUUAAGAUUCGCCAUACAUACAUAAGAUUAUAUGAACGCCAUACAUACAUACAUACAUAAGAUUAUAUGAACGCUAUACAUACAUACAUAAGAUUAUAUGAACAUAGGUGAAAAAACAAGAAACAUAAGAUUAUAUGAACAUAGGUGAAAGAACAAGAAAAGGGGGUUUGGUUUCAGCCGUAAACGACGAUAAAUGGGGGCUAGUUCCAUUGCUUAUAGAAGUAGAAGAUAGGCAGCCUUUCCCUAUUAUACUAUAGAUAGAUAUAGAUAGAUAGUUAUAGAUAGAUAGUUGGAGGAAGCCUAUUAUACUAUAGAUAGAUAGUUGGAGGAAGCCAAGUUGAUACUAUUUUCUGGAUACCAUACUUUCUACUUUUUUAGCAUUACGGCCCCUUUCAUGAGCAUUUCUCUAGCUAGCAGUAGGGCCCUCGAAAUGGAAUAAAAGAAAUCGAAAUGGACUUCUAUAGAAUUCCGUAAUCCCACUCGAUAAGAAGGUAAUCC